UGUCAGUCCUCACGUACUUGUGUUGGGUUUAAUUGGUCAGGUCCGGAAGGAAGCAGCCAGGGUUCAAUUUCAAGGUACCGUGAUGUGGUUGACUUUC
rnacentral:SRP_RNA from 1 species